rnacentral:rRNA from 1 species
GACAGAGGGGGCAAGCGUUGCUCGGAAUCACUGGGCGUAAAGGGCGCGUAGGCGGGAUGGCAAGUCAGUCGUGAAAUCUCUCGGCUCAACCGAGAAACGUCGGCUGAUACUGCCGUUCUUGAGGGAUGCAGAGGAGACUGGAAUUCCCGGUGUAGCGGUGAAAUGUGUAGAGAUCGGGAGGAACACCGGUGGCGAAGGCGGGUCUCUGGGCAUCUCCUGACGGCUGAGGAGCGAAAGCCAGGGGAGCAAACGGG